rnacentral:ncRNA from 1 species
UAUGAGUUUGAUUCUAGCUUUUGAGUUAACUUAUUCAUUGAUCUAUAUGGUUAAUUUUAAAUUAAAUUUUAUUGUUCCAGUAGUAAAGAUUAAAUUUAUUAUAAGUUUUGAUUUAGAAAUUGAAUAAUUUUUUAAAGUAGAUUAAUAUUUGUGCCAGCAUUCGCGGUUACACAAUUUACUUAAGUUAACUUUGUUAUUUUUUUAAUUUAAUUUUUAUUUGGGUUUAAAUAUAAGAUUUAUUUAGGUGGAAUUUAUAAUUUGUUAUAAAAUCUUUUAUAAUUAAUAUUAAGAUAUUUUUAUUGAUAAACUAGGAUUAGAUACCCUAUUAUUUUUAAUGUAAAAGUUUUUAGAAUGGUAUUAGUUAUGGUCUUUUAAGCUCAAAGAAUUUGGCGGUAAGAUAUCUAUUUAGAGGAAUCUGUGUAUUAAUUGAUAAUCCACAAUAGUUUAUACCUUUAAUUAUAUUUGUAUACCGCUAUAAUGUGGAAUGUUAUCUAAGUAAACUUUCUUUAAUUAAUUUUAAUUUUAUAUUAGGUCAAGGUGCAGUUUUUUAAAGGUUUAUAUGGAUUACUUUUGUUUUAAGUGUUAGGAUUUUAAUUUUACAAAGUUAUUUUGAAUUAGGAUUUAAUAGUAAGUUUUAAAUUAAUUUAUUUAACUGAAUAUUGCUAUGUUUUAUGUACAUAUCGCCCGUCACUCCUAAUUAAGUUAGGAUAAGUCGUAACAAAGUAAUUUUACCGGAAGGUGAAGUUAGAAUAAUU